UACGGAGGGGGCUAGCGUUGUUCGGAAUUACUGGGCGUAAAGCGCACGUAGGCGGCUUUGCAAGUCAGAGGUGAAAGCCCGGGGCUCAACCCCGGAAUUGCCUUUAAGACUGCAUCGCUAGAAUUGUGGAGAGGUAAGUGGAAUUCCGAGUGUAGAGGUGAAAUUCGUAGAUAUUCGGAAGAACACCAGUGGCGAAGGCGACCAUCUGGACGGUAACUGACGUUGAGACGCGAAAGCGUGGGUAGCAAACAGG
rnacentral:rRNA from 1 species